rnacentral:rRNA from 1 species
GGUUAAGCGACUAAGCGUACACGGUGGAUGCCCUGGCAGUCAGAGGCGAUGAAGGACGUGCUAAUCUGCGAUAAGCGUCGGUAAGGUGAUAUGAACCGUUAUAACCGGCGAUUUCCGAAUGGGGAAACCCAGUGUGUUUCGACACACUAUCAUUAACUGAAUCCAUAGGUUAAUGAGGCGAACCGGGGGAACUGAAACAUCUAAGUACCCCGAGGAAAAGAAAUCAACCGAGAUUCCCCCAGUAGCGGCGAGCGAACGGGGAGCAGCCCAGAGCCUGAAUCAGUGUGUGUGUUAGUGGAAGCGUCUGGAAAGGCGCGCGAUACAGGGUGACAGCCCCGUACACAAAAAUGCACAUGCUGUGAGCUCGAUGAGUAGGGCGGGACACGUGGUAUCCUGUCUGAAUAUGGGGGGACCAUCCUCCAAGGCUAAAUACUCCUGACUGACCGAUAGUGAACCAGUACCGUGAGGGAAAGGCGAAAAGAACCCCGGCGAGGGGAGUGAAAAAGAACCUGAAACCGUGUACGUACAAGCAGUGGGAGCACGCUUAGGCGUGUGACUGCGUACCUUUUGUAUAAUGGGUCAGCGACUUAUAUUCUGUAGCAAGGUUAACCGAAUAGGGGAGCCGAAGGGAAACCGAGUCUUAACUGGGCGUUAAGUUGCAGGGUAUAGACCCGAAACCCGGUGAUCUAGCCAUGGGCAGGUUGAAGGUUGGGUAACACUAACUGGAGGACCGAACCGACUAAUGUUGAAAAAUUAGCGGAUGACUUGUGGCUGGGGGUGAAAGGCCAAUCAAACCGGGAGAUAGCUGGUUCUCCCCGAAAGCUAUUUAGGUAGCGCCUCGUGAAUUCAUCUCCGGGGGUAGAGCACUGUUUCGGCAAGGGGGUCAUCCCGACUUACCAACCCGAUGCAAACUGCGAAUACCGGAGAAUGUUAUCACGGGAGACACACGGCGGGUGCUAACGUCCGUCGUGAAGAGGGAAACAACCCAGACCGCCAGCUAAGGUCCCAAAGUCAUGGUUAAGUGGGAAACGAUGUGGGAAGGCCCAGACAGCCAGGAUGUUGGCUUAGAAGCAGCCAUCAUUUAAAGAAAGCGUAAUAGCUCACUGGUCGAGUCGGCCUGCGCGGAAGAUGUAACGGGGCUAAACCAUGCACCGAAGCUGCGGCAGCGACGCUUAUGCGUUGUUGGGUAGGGGAGCGUUCUGUAAGCCUGUGAAGGUGUGCUGUGAGGCAUGCUGGAGGUAUCAGAAGUGCGAAUGCUGACAUAAGUAACGAUAAAGCGGGUGAAAAGCCCGCUCGCCGGAAGACCAAGGGUUCCUGUCCAACGUUAAUCGGGGCAGGGUGAGUCGACCCCUAAGGCGAGGCCGAAAGGCGUAGUCGAUGGGAAACAGGUUAAUAUUCCUGUACUUGGUGUUACUGCGAAGGGGGGACGGAGAAGGCUAUGUUGGCCGGGCGACGGUUGUCCCGGUUUAAGCGUGUAGGCUGGUUUUCCAGGCAAAUCCGGAAAAUCAAGGCUGAGGCGUGAUGACGAGGCACUACGGUGCUGAAGCAACAAAUGCCCUGCUUCCAGGAAAAGCCUCUAAGCAUCAGGUAACAUCAAAUCGUACCCCAAACCGACACAGGUGGUCAGGUAGAGAAUACCAAGGCGCUUGAGAGAACUCGGGUGAAGGAACUAGGCAAAAUGGUGCCGUAACUUCGGGAGAAGGCACGCUGAUAUGUAGGUGNNNNNNNNNNNNNNNNNNNNNNNNNNNNNNNNNNNNNNNNNNNNNNNNNNNNNNNNNNNNNNNNNNNNNNNNNNNNNNNNNNNNNNNNNNNNNNGCGAAGCUCUUGAUCGAAGCCCCGGUAAACGGCGGCCGUAACUAUAACGGUCCUAAGGUAGCGAAAUUCCUUGUCGGGUAAGUUCCGACCUGCACGAAUGGCGUAAUGAUGGCCAGGCUGUCUCCACCCGAGACUCAGUGAAAUUGAACUCGCUGUGAAGAUGCAGUGUACCCGCGGCAAGACGGAAAGACCCCGUGAACCUUUACUAUAGCUUGACACUGAACAUUGAGCCUUGAUGUGUAGGAUAGGUGGGAGGCUUAGAAGUGUGGACGCCAGUCUGCAUGGAGCCGACCUUGAAAUACCACCCUUUAAUGUUUGAUGUUCUAACGUUGACCCGUAAUCCGGGUUGCGGACAGUGUCUGGUGGGUAGUUUGACUGGGGCGGUCUCCUCCUAAAGAGUAACGGAGGAGCACGAAGGUUGGCUAAUCCUGGUCGGACAUCAGGAGGUUAGUGCAAUGGCAUAAGCCAGCUUGACUGCGAGCGUGACGGCGCGAGCAGGUGCGAAAGCAGGUCAUAGUGAUCCGGUGGUUCUGAAUGGAAGGGCCAUCGCUCAACGGAUAAAAGGUACUCCGGGGAUAACAGGCUGAUACCGCCCAAGAGUUCAUAUCGACGGCGGUGUUUGGCACCUCGAUGUCGGCUCAUCACAUCCUGGGGCUGAAGUAGGUCCCAAGGGUAUGGCUGUUCGCCAUUUAAAGUGGUACGCGAGCUGGGUUUAGAACGUCGUGAGACAGUUCGGUCCCUAUCUGCCGUGGGCGCUGGAGAACUGAGGGGGGCUGCUCCUAGUACGAGAGGACCGGAGUGGACGCAUCACUGGUGUUCGGGUUGUCAUGCCAAUGGCACUGCCCGGUAGCUAAAUGCGGAAGAGAUAAGUGCUGAAAGCAUCUAAGCACGAAACUUGCCCCGAGAUGAGUUCUCCCUGACUCCUUGAGAGUCCUGAAGGAACGUUGAAGACGACGACGUUGAUAGGCCGGGUGUGUAAGCGCAGCGAUGCGUUGAGCUAACCGGUACUAAUGAACCGUGAGGCUUAACCUU